GAUCUCAAGUACCACAUGAACCAUCUCAUACUUGGCUAACCGGCCAAGCAAUAUACCAUCUCGAUCACCUCGUGAUCAAAACAAAACGAUGAUCACUCACGGAUCACAAACGGAACCACACCGGGUUCAACGGGUUACCUCGUAACCGAACGGUGAUCAUUCACAGAUCACAAACGGAACAUCCACAUGAUCACCUCGUGACCACAUCACAAACUAAAUGAUCCUUCUCAAGAUCAUCCCAACAUCAUCAUCAUCAUCAUCCUGCCAAACUGUUACAGCUCACAAUAUCAACAUAUACAUGACCUAUAAGUCAUUCCGUCAUGUGAGUGUUGAUCGAACGGUGUGACCUAGUACAAACUUAUGCCCAUGACCGAGGAUGCAACUAUCGAUAGAUUAAACACACGCACUCUGCAGAGGUAGCGCACUUUACCCACACCACAGAACCCAUGGCCUCGCACUCCCAUUCGGGUGGACCAACGGCGUUCCGACAAAACCAAUCUACUGCCAUGACACUCUCGCGGCCACUCCGACUCACUCCCCACUGGGCUAAGUCAUGGGUGGCCCCGUGUCUACCAAAGACACCAACGACCACCGUCGUGGAAAAACCAAAUGGUCCCAAACGGGGACAGGAGAUGUCAAUACCAACUACGGGCACAAGGUUAUGUCUGCUUACCAGGCCAGGGUACCGCACGCCCAUAACCUUCCCUCAUUGGAGGCACCGGCGGGAGGCACGACAAUAACAUCGCAUUAGGGCCUUCCCAUAAAAGGCAAAUGUGGUUGCACUAGAAAAGCCCGGUUUGGUGGCACCUCGCCAACUUAACGACGGAAUUUAUCCCCAAAAAUAUAACUGUGAUCACUGAUACUCCAAUACCAACUAUCAAACUAUAAUCCCAGUCAUAGCAAUAUCCACAAAUAAUCUAAAGCAUACCAGCAUCAUAUUAAAAUACUCCGAGGGUAGCAUAACAUUUCUAUCAUGAUGAAUCUGAAAACAAUAAUCCUACUACUUCAUUAACAAGAACAAAUCUAUCCAGCUAAGAUCCACAUGUGAACAUCAUCUCCGAAAGUAAUACUCCAAGCAACAGCAACAGAACAUCAACUAGCAUCAUCAAAAUAGUCAUAUUAACCACUAAUAAUCCAAAGGCAGCAUGACCUCCAAAGUAAUACUCCAAAAUAUAGUAACAGAUAUCAUCAUGAAAACAAUGAUAAUAUCAACCACUAAUACUCCAAUGGCAACAUGAUACUCAUCAACUACAAUCAUAACUCCUAGUAAUCCAAACAAUAGCAUGGCAACAACAAGAUCAAAAUAAUACUCCGAGAAAAUGCCAUACACAAGUUCAAAUAAAUUAAACCAUGUCACUGCAUUACAGUGAUGCAAAUGGAGGCUGUGGCUUGCCUGGGGUGGAAGAAAUCACCGGAAAGAUGUGCGAGAAACUCGCAGAAAGAAUCACCGGAAAACGUUCUCUCUCGGCGGGGGCUGAAUAAGGGCAGGGGCAAAGUGGUUAUUUUCACAGUUUCAAAUCAUGGUGGAAAUGGUUCCAUCAGAACGGGCUCGACGAAACAAAGAAGUGGGCUUUGGAAUCACCUGAUUUGGAGCUACGGUUAAAAAGAUAUAGUUGUUUUUCUGCCAGGGUCUUAUUUGUAAUAAAAUCAUCACAAACAGGCCCUUAACAGGAAAAACAGAACGCGUCUUCUCCGAAAAUACGUUUUCCUUAAUGGAAAACGUAUUUCGGCCGAAGAAGAAACAUAAUACGCCUUCGUUAAGCGAAGACACUCUCUCUGGAGUACACCUCCACUUAACCUCGUCAGCAGGCCGGCCCGGUCAGCGCAGAGAGGCCGAUAGGCGGGGCCCAUGGACGGGGUCAAUGUUGUCUUCGUCUCGCCCGCGUUCGCCCGCGGUCCAGAUGGAGGUGCCGGAGCGGGAGCUCGUCCGGCCGGCACCGGCCAUCGCUGGCGGUGCCCGACCCACCAAAAUGAUCAGGAGAUGGAGGCCCUUCCAUCCCCGCAUUAAACGGGCCUCGAAGAGGGCGGGAGCGAGGGCACCAUGGACCAUGGCGGACGGCGGCUUCGGCCAAAGACGGGCACGACACUCCAGCAACUUGGAGGCGAGGAUGAGCUCCGGGGAGACUUGGAGAUGACUGGAUAGGGCUGUAGCGGAGCUAGGAGGUGGAGAGCGGACGCGGUUCGUCGGAAUCUAAUUGGGCAAAGGCGGCGGUCGAGGCAGCAAUGGGCGGCCAGGAGAGCUCCUCGAGCUCAAGCAAGAGGCUAGGGAGGGGCCUUGGAGCGAGGCAAGGGCGAUGGGGUGCUCGGGGGAGGCUCGAGCGGCCUUAAAUAGCCAGCGGGGGAGGAGUGCCGAGCUGGCACCGCCGCGGACGCAUGUCCGGCGCCGCGGAGGCUUGCCCACGCUCGCAAGCUCGGAGGUAGAAGAUGCAGGAGGAGUAGUGGAGGUUCUCACGGGGAGAAGGCCAACGGAGCACGGGGAGGAUGACGACGACGACGAACAGAUCCAAACCGCCACUGUUCACCCGUGUGCGCGCGGCGGCUUGCCUCAUUGAGGAAGCAGACGGAGGGGGAGAGGGGUCCAGCGGACCGGCGACGACGAGAUGCAGCCACUGGACAUGCUCACGCACGCGAAGACAAAGAGAGGAGAAUAGACGAAGCUGAAACGGCACGCUGGACGCGGCCACUACGCACAGAGCGCGCGCACAGGCUUGCGAGCUGCACGGUCACCACGAAAUGGUAGUCAUUGUCUAAGGUUUACUGCAGUAAACUUGCCCGUGCACUGGUUAUUGACAGGGAAGUGAUUGUGGUCAAUGGAGUUGUCAUGGGUGAUUAGCUAUGGAAGGACUAUGAUCCUGGAGGUUUUGGACCACAAUGGGCCACAAAAUAAUAUAGUUGUUGUGUAACCCCAAAAUUGGUCCAGAAUCAAGAUCAUGAUGGUUCACUCACAUAGAGUAACCACUUGAGCUCAAAUUUGGCAAAGCCUAGGAUUUGGACAUAUGAAGAUGCUGUAAAAAUCUCAUACCAAAUGGACAAGCCAAAAUGGUACUUGCUUCACAAACAUCAUUUCUGUCCAGAAACUUGAAAUAAUUUAGGUGAUCAAAUGGCUCAAUGAAAUGAUGCCAAAUUGGGUGGAGAGAUGUUUUAUGGGUAUAAGAAUGAUCUGGUAAUUUAUCAGAAUUUUUGAAUUAAUAUAAAAUAAACUUGCUUCACAACCUGAAAAUAUUGCUAGAAUCAAAGAUUUAUUCCUGUGCUCACACAGAUGAUUAUAUGGGGCUGGAAAUGGGUGUAGGGGGUUAAUAUGAGCACAUUAAGGAGUGUGCAAAAGUUCAAUUCAUUUGGAUACUCCUAGCUAGUACUUCCUUCACAAAGCCUUCCGUUUGAUAGAAACUUUGAUAAUUCACUGAGGAAGAUUGGCUAGGUAAAUAAAGUUGAACUUGUGCAUGAGGAAAUUAUUUGGACAUAUAAACAUGCCCAACAAGGUUGGGAGCCACUAGGAAAAAUAUAAAUGACACUUCCUUCACAAAGUGCCAUUUAGGGCAGAAAGGCAGAAUAAUUAUUGGGGAAUUAUUCUUGGACUAGGACAGAAAAGUUUGGGCAUAUUUGAUCAAUAUAUGACCCAAAGGAAUUAUGAGAAUUAAUUGGGAAUUUUUGGAUGUACAUAAAUAUAGGUUGCUUCACAACCUAGGGCAGAUAAGGUUAUUCCUUUAAUAGAAAAAGGAAUAUUCCCUAGAAGAAGAUUUUGGGUUUGGUCAAGGAGUGAAGUGACAUGAUCUUGGCAAGGUUUUGGGAAUGACUAGCCACUUGGGAGGGGGAAUGAGGAUGAUUUCCCAGGUGGCAAGGCCACAUAACCAUUCCAAAAAGAAAAACAGAGCGAAAACCAAAUAAAUCAAAAGAAAAAGAGAAGGGCCAAAAUCCAGGCUGUUACAAUCCUUACUCCCUUAAAGAAAUCUCGUCCCCGGGAUUUAGUUGAUCUAGGAACAAGUAUGACUUGAGGACACCGUUUCCAGGUCGGGUAUCCUUUUUCCUUUAUUUAUUGUUCCCCCAAGAAUUUCAAAUGAUCAACUUCCUUGCUCUGGGGUGGUCUUGCUUCACAUUUCCAAAUUUUGACACUUCUUUAGUCAUAUACCAAUUCCUUUUUACUGACGUUGAUUUUCCAUACCUGUGGUGAUAUCCAAUGGAUCUGAGCAUAAAUUUUCUUUUAGUCCUGAAACCUUUUUACUUCUGUCAUGGGGUUGCUUCAAAUAAAUGCAGACCUUCUGGUUUCAAUAAAUGCUGAGAAUUAUCAUAGCCAUCUUCUGACGGGAUCUGACUGCUCAUAGGUGGCACUGAUUUAUCUUGAUUUAUUUCUUUGGCUCGAGCAUGAGAUAUGUACCAAAGAUUUGACUGCCUUCUAUCGUGAGCAAUAUAAUGGUGUAUGGAGUUAUAGUUGUGUCAUACCUCAAUUAUUUACAUCUUGAGAUUGGCCCGACAGGGGGCUGACGGACAAAUGCUUUUCCUGGCAAACUGACCAUGUACUUGAUUUCAUCGGUGAGUAUAUCGGGUCUAAGCUGAUUGUUCGGCUUUUGAUUUUUCUCAUGUUGUCGAUAUACUCAUCUGUGGUAAUAGGCCGUGAUAUGCUUUAACACUGCCGCUGAGGUCAGCCUACUGAGGUUGCAAAGGAAUCUUGGAUCUGACAAAACAGACUUGGAUAUUCCACGCUAACCAUGUCAAGUGAGUCAGCGGGAUAUGAAAAUCCUUGUAAAACAGAGUAGGCCCUUGAGAGUAUGCCUUUGGGGAUCCAUAUGGAAUAAUGGCCACCAACUGACUUGGGUGUCCGGACCCUGUCCUUGAUUCUUCGUAUGACCAUGGAUGUGAUUAAUAUUUUUUACAUUAUUCCUUGUGCUUGUUUUUCUGACCUGUGUCCGCACACGUAUGACAUAUACUCGGGGUUUGUAGCUGUAAGGAGCUCAUUGCUGAGGCCAAUCAUACAAGAAGGUGACAAGGUUUUAUGAUAUCUCCUUGUCAGUUGCGGGAAUAAUGACCUUGAUGACCAUUGCUAAGAUUGUUGAUUUUGUGUUGUCAUCUCCAGAUAUUGUCGAUCCUUGUAAUUCAUGAGAUGUAUCUCUGCUUAUUUUCCUUUGCCUGACUCGGGAGGUUGUGGGGUCCUUACUUUCCUUAGGUAUAUCUGAUGGAUCUUUGCCGCAUCUCGUAUGAAUUACUGAUAUGACUAGGGAUGCAUGCUCACCGUAUAUAAGAAGGAUAUGCCACCGAACACUCGAUCCUUGCGGUAGGCAUGAAUUUUACCUCUGACAAAAUUAUUGCAAGUCUGGUCCUUGAGCGGUACAACCAUACCUUGGCAACUCAUCAUAUAAUCUUUGAGGAUGGUGCAUGGUGUGGUACUGACGCAGACUGAAUGGCUUACGAGAGAAGCCAUCUGAGUAGCCUGCUGAGGGAGACUUGUUAACUUCUGCUCAAAUCUUUUUUUGGGUAUCGUGCAGAAGAAGGCUCUAUAGCUCACACACGAAGCUUGGUCUGAUUAUUGUGCUAGAGAAGCCUGAGUUUCGUACUUAAGAAGCUUCUCCUUGGGUUUGCUUGGUGAGAAAAAUUCAUUUCCGUCUGUCAGAAGCUAUUACCGAGGUAUCUUGCUGAGAAACACUGGGUAUAGUGGGCCGGAAAUUGUUCACAUAUCAUGUUGAGGAAAAAUUUAGGAGCCUUGCAUCAUAAAUUUCUUCCGAUAGCGUGUGGAAGAAUAAUGGGUUUUUUAUAUCCAAAACUUCAUACAUAUAUGCAGACUGAAAUCCAUACACACGCCCAUAUUAUUCUGAGGCUGAUUAUUUGUAUGAGAAAAAAUAUUUUGACUGCCUUCCUUGAGCAUAUCACAUUCUGACUUUAUUUUGGAUGGUAACAUAUUUCAAGCAUCAUGCAUUUUGAGCCAAAACUUUAUAUAUGAUCCAUACCUAUGUGAAAAUAUACCGUUGGUCUUGUAACUGACUUGUCUUUCUGCUGGCUGGAUCAUAACUGCUGUGAGGAUUUCUGCUGGCUGGAUCAUAACUGCUGGAUCACAAAAGCACACAACAACAAUCAAUUUACACACAAUCAAUGUCACGUAUUACUGCUAGUCACACAAUAUGCAUGCCUACUUAAGCACACAAAUCUCGCGGGAUCUCCGGUUGUACGAUCUAGCAUGCUGUGAUGAUGUGCACGAGGACGAAUAAAUGUGUGGAAGAAUUGGUGUAAACAUCACUACACCAAGUGCUAGCUUAGCUAGAUAGCAACCUAGACUAGCUCGAAGGAGAGGACGCACUCGGUAAUCAUGUAGUGAGACACGAAGGUCGCAACCACAUUAUUAUCAAGCGGACGGAAAAAGAUCCGUACUCGUCCAAGACAUAGGAUAGCGGGGGAAAAGUAAGGCUGCUGACAUUGCUCUUUCUUGAUAACUAAGAUCAUUAAGGGUUGCCAACACGACAAAAUAAAAAGAACGAUUCGGGAUAGAAGCAUGUACAUCACCAAAGCGAUAGGUGGGGCUGAAAGAAAGACAUCGGCGCAAUACCUGAGCACCAUUUUUCCAAAUAGUGUCGGGAUCACUUGGCAUCACUCUGCUGGGACAACAAUGACACCAAACACCGAAGGAAAAGGGAAGUUGGAGAAAUGCAAAGGUUGAGCUGUAGUGGAUCCGAACCGAUGCCAGCUACACUUACCACAUAAACCAUUAGCAACAAAUAAUAAUUCUAUAUGCAUGCUAAGCAACAAACAAAUGCAGCAACCAAAUGCAAUAAACAAGCCAGACUCUAUACUACCGAUUUCUACCGGUUUCUACCGCUCGCGCUGACUAGGGCGUCCUACAGCCAAACCUGGCUCUGAUACCAAGCCUGUAGCACCCCGGCUCAGAGAAACCGAAAGCCCCGUAUUCCAGCCCAGAGAUCAAGGAGAAGUCUCUGGAAUAUAGCACUGCUUGACAUAGAACAAAUCAGCUCUUAUUACAAGAAUAAGUACAAAGGCCCGAUGUUACAAAGAAGCACAUCAGGAUGGCGACACUACACCUGCGAUACUCCACUUGCUCUAUGCUAGCAGCGGAACAACUCGUAGCAGCGGAAAUCUUCUGGCAGCGGAACAACGACGAAGGUAGUGAACUCGCCUACGCAGGGACUCUGGCUGGGACACGAUCUAGCUCGCAUGAAUGGAAACCACAACAAGCAAUCAAGCAAUCACGACAUCACCUGCAAUCUGGCAUGACACGCCAGGUCAGUAUAUUGAAUGUACCUACAAGCUCACAACAACCAAAAAAAUCAAGGCAAGACAACAACAUAGCAUUAAGCAGGUUAAUUAAAUUAACAGCUACCAUGAUGAAGCAACUAAUAAUCAUGAUAUGAACUACUAGAAUACUGAUAAGCCAUCAUCUCGGAUCUCAAGUACCACAUGAACCAUCUCACACUUGGCUAACCGGCCAAGCAAUAUACCAUCUCGAUCACCUCGUGAUCAAAACAAAACGGUGAUCACUCACGGAUCACAAACGGAACCACACCGGGUUCAACGGGUUACCUCGUAACCGAAUGGUGAUCAUUCACAGAUCACAAACGGAACAUCCACAUGAUCACCUAGUGACCACAUCACAAACUGAAUG
rnacentral:lncRNA from 1 species